rnacentral:ncRNA from 1 species
CCCAUCGCGAGGUGGAAUCCGAAGGAAGCUGGAGACAAGGCCACGGCCCGAUGAACAGGAACCCCAUACGAGGCUGUACCGCCCGGAUGAGCUGGCACAACAAAGCGAAAUCCGGGCUACGAAGGGGCGGUAGAGUAUAUGGGGCGGGCGCGGGGUAUAGGUUAGCGAU